AUCCUUGUCUGGACUUUACCUCCCCUUCCUCUUCCUCCUCUUUCUCCUGCUGUUCUGGUUCCAUUUUGGGAACACCCUCUGUCCAGUACAGAAGAAACUGCCUUGGUUUAUCAACUAUGGUAAAAAUAGAACUUAAAGGGAUAACUAAAGAAUUCCCAGAUCCUUUUCAGAACUCUGUUGGAUUUGCUAGAGGUUUUGAAUUAAACAUUUGAGCUUAUGAUCCAGGAAUUUCUGAUUUAUAUCAACAGGUUCACAUUUUAGUGUCAGAAAAUAAAGCCAAAGAUUGGAUAGCAAAGGCAAACUGGAGAAAUCUUUUAAAGGACUUCCAUAAUUUUUUUGAAGCCGAUAGCAAAUGUGCUCACAAUACUGUCAAAGCUUUAGUUGACUCUAUCCCCUUAGUUUUCCAAAAAGUGGUUGAUUGGAACAAAAUACAACACGCUGAAAAAAUCCUGUUGAUCACAUAAUGUCAUACUACGGGAAAUUUGAAAGAAUGUUUAAACAAUAUUCAGGCCUAUCAGAAGAAAGUUAUGCUAACCAUCAAAAUGAUACUCUCCUUAACUCAAACUUUAUAAAUGAAUCAGAUGAAGAAAUGGCAACUAUAAUAAAUAAACAAUGCCCUGGUUGGGCUA
rnacentral:lncRNA from 10 species